rnacentral:rRNA from 1 species
GACGAACGCUGGCGGCGUGCUUAACACAUGCGAGUCGAACGGAAAGGCCCUGCUUUUGUUGGGUGCUCGAGUGGCGAACGGGUGAGUAACACGUGAGUAACCUGCCCUUGACUUUGGGAUAACUUCAGGAAACUGGGGCUAAUACCGGAUAGGAGCUCCUGCUGCACGGGGGGGGUUGGAAAGUGUCGGCGGUGGGGGAUGGACUCGCGGCUUAUCAGCUUGUUGGUGGGGUAGUGGCUUACCAAGGCUUUGACGGGUAGCCGGCCUGGGAGGGUGACCGGCCACAUUGGGCCUGAGAUGCGGCCCAGACUCCUACGGGAGGCAGCAGUGGGGACUAUUGCACAAUGGGCGGAAGCCUGAUGCAGCAACGCCGCGUGCGGGAUGACGGCCUUCGGGUUGUAAACCGCUUUCGCCUGUGACGAAGCGUGAGUGACGGUAAUGGGUAAAGAAGCACCGGCUACCUACGU